rnacentral:rRNA from 1 species
UACGUAGGGGGCGAGCGUUGUCCGGAUUUAUUGGGCGUAAAGAGCGUGUAGGCGGUUCGGUAAGUCUGUCGUGAAAUCCUGAGGCUCAACCUCGGGCGUGCGAUGGAUACUGCCGGGCUAGAGGGUGGUAGAGGCGAGUGGAAUUCCCGGUGUAGCGGUGAAAUGCGCAGAUAUCGGGAGGAACACCAGUAGCGAAGGCGGCUCGCUGGGCCACACCUGACGCUGAGACGCGAAAAGCUAGGGGGAGCGAACAGG